rnacentral:rRNA from 1 species
CCUACGGGAGGCAGCAGUGGGGAAUAUUGCACAAUGGGGGAAACCCUGAUGCAGCGACGCCGCGUGAGCGAUGAAGUCUUUCGGUAUGUAAAGCUCUAUCAGCAGGGAAGAAGAUGACGGUACUUGACUAAGAAGCCCCGGCUAACUACGUGCCAGCAGCCGCGGUAAUACGUAGGGGGCAAGCGUUAUCCGGAUUUACUGGGGGUAAAGGGGGCGUAGAUGGCGUUGCAAGCCAGAUGUGAAAGGCCGGGGCUCAACCCCGGGACUGCAUUUGGAACUGGGUGGCUGGAGUGUCGGAGAGGCAAGCGGAAUUCCUAGUGUAGCGGUGAAAUGCGUAGAUAUUAGGAGGAACACCAGUUGCGAAGGCGGCCUGCUGGACGAUGACUGACGUUGAGGCACGAAAGCGUGGGGAGCAAACAGGAUUAGAUACCCGGGUAGUC